rnacentral:rRNA from 1 species
GAUGAACGCUGGCGGCGUGCCUAAUACAUGCAAGUCGAGCGAACGGACGAGAAGCUUGCUUCUCUGAUGUUAGCGGCGGACGGGUGAGUAACACGUGGAUAACCUACCUAUAAGACUGGGAUAACUUCGGGAAACCGGAGCUAAUACCGGAUAAUAUUUUGAACCGCAUGGUUCAAAAGUGAAAGACGGUCUUGCUGUCACUUAUAGAUGGAUCCGCGCUGCAUUAGCUAGUUGGUAAGGUAACGGCUUACCAAGGCAACGAUGCAUAGCCGACCUUAGAGGGUGAUCGGCCACACUGGAACUGAGACACGGUCCAGACUCCUACGGGAGGCAGCAGUAGGGAAUCGUCCGCAAUGGGCGGAAGCCUGACGGAGCAACGCCGCGUGAGUGAUGAAGGUCUUCGGAUCGUAAAACUCUGUUAUUAGGGAAGAACAUAUGUGUAAGUAACUGUGCACAUCUUGACGGUACCUAAUCAGAAAGCCACGGCUAACUACGUG